rnacentral:rRNA from 1 species
UUAGACGGGACCGCACAGCGUGGAUGAUGUGGAUUAAUUCGAUGCAACGCGAAAACCUUACCUACCUUGACAUGUCUGGAACCUUGGUGAGAGCCGAGGGUGCCUUCGGGAGCCAGAACACAGGUGCUGCAUGGCUGUCGUCAGCUCGUGUCGUGAGAUGUUGGGUUAAGUCCCGCAACGAGCGCAACCCUUGUCACUAGUUGCCAUCAUUUGGUUGGGCACUCUAGUGAGACUGCCGGUGACAAACCGGAGGAAGGUGGGGAUGACGUCAAGUCCUCAUGGCCCUUAUGGGUAGGGCUUCACACGUCAUACAAUGGUCGGUACAGAGGGUUGCCAAGCCGCGAGGUGGAGCCAAUCCCUUAAAGCCGAUCGUAGUCCGGAUUGUUCUCUGCAACUCGAGAGCAUGAAGUCGGAAUCGCUAGUAAUCGCAGGUCAGCAUACUGCGGUGAAUACGUUCCCGGGUCUU